UACGUAGGGGGCAAGCGUUGUCCGGAAUUAUUGGGCGUAAAGAGCUUGUAGGCGGCUCGUUACGUCUGUUCUGAAAGUCCAGGGCUCAACCCUGGGAUGCGGAUGGAUACUGUCGAGCUCGAGUCCGGAAGAGGCGAGUGGAAUUCCGCGUGUAGCAGUGAAAUGCGUAGAGAUGCGGAGGAACACCGAUGGCGAAGGCAGCCCCCUGGGCUAGCACUGACGCUCAGGCACGAAAGCGUGGGGAGCAAACAGG
rnacentral:rRNA from 1 species